CCCAUGGCUGGCGCCAUGGGCUACAAUAUGCCGCCCUCUGCGAGGGCU
rnacentral:sRNA from 1 species